GACGAACGCUGGCGGCGUGCUUAACAAAGGCAGGUGGACGGGAAAGGCCCUGCUUUUGGGGGUUGCCGGGGUGGCGAACGGUUGGGAAACACGUGGUUAACUUGCCUUGGACUUUGGGUUAAUUUCGGGAAAUUGGGGUUAAUACCGGAUAGGGGCUCCUGUUGAAUGGUGGGGGUUGGAAAGUUUCGGCGGUUGGGGAUGGACUCGCGGCUUAUCAGCUUGUUGGUGGGGUAGUGGCUUACCAAGGCUUUGACGGGUAGCCGGCCUGAGAGGGUGACCGGCCACAUUGGGACUGAGAUACGGCCCAGACUCCUACGGGAGGCAGCAGUGGGGAAUAUUGCACAAUGGGCGGAAGCCUGAUGCAGCAACGCCGCGUGCGGGAUGACGGCCUUCGGGUUGUAAACCGCUUUCGCCUGUGACGAAGCGUGAGUGACGGUAAUGGGUAAAGAAGCACCGGCUAACUACGUG
rnacentral:rRNA from 1 species